rnacentral:lncRNA from 1 species
UGGGCUCCCGACGCUCGCGGGAGCAGCGGGAAACCAGGUUCCGGGAGUGGGGCGAGGACGCCCCUGCCAAGCCCCUUUUACGUCCCGGCGGUCGCGAGGAGGUCCCCCGGGCGCGAAGAAGACGCCAGCCCACCCCAGCCGCCGGGGAGAUCGCCCAGGCCGCGCUCAGCCCCGCCCCUGGCUCUGCCCCCGCCGCGGAGCGGAACCCUCCAAGUCGCGGCCUGAGGAGGAAGGAAAAGGGGGCGGCCCGGGAGAGCCGCUGCGAAAUCAGCAACGGGCGGGAACCAGGUUGCCUCCCUGAGUCCCUUCUCUCCCCGGCCGGCUGCCAACCACAGCCAAGGCCAGAGAAACAGGCCCUUCUGCCGCGGCCACCUGGGCGCCUUGGACCCGCCCUCCGGACUCGCCCCCGCCCCUGCCGCGGAGUGGAACGUUUGGAACCCUGAGGGGCACAGCUCCUCUAGCAAUUCCGAUGUGAAAAGAAGAUGGAUGGAGAAGCACUGAUUCAGCCAUGGCUGACAUGUCGGAGUUGGAAUGGACAGUGCCCGGACCUCACAGUCUCAGAGAACUGGAGAAGAGUAAAGCUGAAGAGGGCAUCAUCUGGUUACAAAUGACAAGUCCAGGGCUCCAGUGCUUUGGGGAUAUAAAUUCAUCCCAGGAUGAACAAAUCAUGCAAAGUUGUGUAAAAACCAUUUUCAAGCCAGGCACGGUGGCAUGCACCUGUAAUCCCAGCUACUCGGGAGGUCGAGAUGGGAGGAUGG